UAAUUGUAUGUGAUAUUCAAAUGAAUUAAAAUGUAGGAACAAAGAGCGAAGAAAAAAAAUUCCAACCACAAGUUUGGUGCCAACAAUUGCAAGGCCCGGUACAAACAAGAACAUACCCAACUGAACAUCCAGCAAGGCGAGGCCGAUUGAAUAUCUUCGUGAUUGCUUGAAGACCAACCAAGUGGUUAACAUUGUAGUCGAUUCUGGGAUUUUGGAAGUCGGGACAUAUGAUUUUUCGGUUACAUGUGAAGAAUAUUUUCAACUGCUGAGAAAACAAACAACUGAUGCUUCCAUCAUAACUGCUUGGCAACUGUAAGUCCAUAAAUAUUUUACUAUUAUUAGUUGACCAUAACAUUUUUUGUUUUCUUGUUUGUAGGGUUCUUCAUUCAAUGGUUUGGACACGUAUGAACAAAUGUGCUUUCUUGAACCCUUAUAAUAUUCUAUGGGAGACAUGCCAGAAAAACCCAGAGGGUGUCGUUAGUUAUCUUGUUGAUUCCAUUCGUCUGCACCAUGGAAAAUUGUUUCUCA
rnacentral:lncRNA from 1 species